UGGGGAAUUUUGCGCAAUGGGGGAAACCCUGACGCAGCAACGCCGCGUGCGGGAUGACGGCCUUCGGGUUGUAAACCGCUUUCAGUAGGGACGAUUUUGACGGUACCUACAGAAGAAGCUCCGGCUAACUACGUGCCAGCAGCCGCGGUAAUACGUAGGGAGCAAGCGUUAUCCGGAUUCAUUGGGCGUAAAGCGCGCGUAGGCGGCUUGCUAAGCGGAACCUCUAAUCCCAGGGCUCAACCUUGGGCCGGGUUCCGAACUGGUAGGCUCGAGUGCGGUAGAGGCAGGCGGAAUUCCCGGUGUAGCGGUGGAAUGCGCAGAUAUCGGGAAGAACACCGAUGGCGAAGGCAGCCUGCUGGGCCGUCACUGACGCUGAGGCGCGAAAGCUGGGGGAGCGAACAGG
rnacentral:rRNA from 1 species